rnacentral:rRNA from 1 species
AAUAGAUACCCGGGUAGUCCACGCCGUAAACGAUGAGUGCUAAGUGUUAGAGGGUUUCCGCCCUUUAGUGCUGCAGCUAACGCAUUAAGCACUCCGCCUGGGGAGUACGGUCGCAAGACUGAAACUCAAAGGAAUUGACGGGGGCCCGCACAAGCGGUGGAGCAUGUGGUUUAAUUCGAAGCGACGCGAAGAACCUUACCAGGUCUUGACAUCCCACUGACCGGUAUAGAGAUAUACCUUUCCCUUCGGGGACAGUGGUGACAGGUGGUGCAUGGUUGUCGUCAGCUCGUGUCGUGAGAUGUUGGGUUAAGUCCCGCAACGAGCGCAACCCUUGAUCUUAGUUGCCAGCAUUUAGUUGGGCACUCUAAGGUGACUGCCGGUGACAAACCGGAGGAAGGUGGGGAUGACGUCAAAUCAUCAUGCCCCUUAUGACCUGGGCUACACACGUGCUACAAUGGAUGGUACAAAGGGCUGCAAGACUGCGAAGUCAAGCCAAUCCCAUAAAACCAUUCUCAGUUCGGAUUGCAGG